GAAUAAUGAAGUAGAGAUUUAGUGUUCCUACGCACCCAAGAGGUAUAAGAGAUGACGGGAUAGACACACCGCCCAUUAUUC
rnacentral:ncRNA from 17 species